ACCAUGGGAAUGAGUAGAUUAGAUUUUGGUUGUAAUUUGAUUUGAUCAAAUGUUGUAAAAGAGCAUAAAUGCGUAACUAAAAUCAAUCACCAUCCCUAGACCGAGAUUCAACACUAGGCUCGAGUUGAAUCUAAACAAAGGUUCAUAGUCAUCCUAAGGCCCUAAGGCAACUAUAUAGUCCAUCAAAUGAAUGCAAAGUUUAUAUUAGUAGUAUCAUAUACUCUUGCUUUAAAAACCGUUUUAUAAGCAUAGUGGGAGUAUUAUAUACAACUAAAUUCAAUCAAAUGGACCAAUAGUUGUAAUAGGACCAAAAUUGUUUUAAUAAAGAUUAAAAUGAAUAUUUAUAUGUAAUGAGACCUAAAACCCUCAACCAAACCAUUAUUAAGUUGAUAAGCGAGAGAUGCUUUGAACAUCUCUUCGUAGGCCUUCCACCAUGGUGGGCUUCAAUCGUUUGUGACUCAUACACCGUAUUCGUCCAGUUAUGGGGUAUGCAAAGUAU
rnacentral:lncRNA from 1 species